rnacentral:rRNA from 1 species
CCUACGGGUGGCAGCAGUGGGGAAUAUUGGACAAUGGGGGGAACCCUGAUCCAGCGACGCCGCGUGAGUGAAGAAGUAUUUCGGUAUGUAAAGCUCUAUCAGCAGGGAAGAAAAUGACGGUACCUGACUAAGAAGCCCCGGCUAACUACGUGCCAGCAGCCGCGGUAAUACGUAGGGGGCAAGCGUUAUCCGGAUUUACUGGGUGUAAAGGGAGCGUAGACGGCAGCACAAGUCUGGAGUGAAAUGCCGGGGCUUAACCCCGGAACUGCUUUGGAAACUGUGCAGCGAGAGUGCAGGAGAGGUAAGUGGAAUUCCUAGUGUAGCGGUGAAAUGCGUAGAUAUUAGGAGGAACACCAGUGGCGAAGGCGGCUUACUGGACUGUAACUGACGUUGAGGCUCGAAAGCGUGGGGAGCAAACAGGAUUAGAUACCCUGGUAGUC